AAUAAAAUUUGUGAGCAAAUAUCAUUAAUUGAUGUAGUUCAAGGAGUGGCUGUUUGGCACAUUUCUAUGGAGGUGGUAAUUCAGAUGCAUAACCAGAGAAACACUGAGGGGUUUUGCUUUUUUUUUUUUGGUUGAUUUUUUUCUUUUUUUUUCCUAUAAUGUUGCAGUUGUUUCAGAGUACAAUGAGAUUUUUUGGCAUAGAAGUGCUGCUGUAAUUGGUUUCUAGGACUUUCUUGAUUUGACUUAAUUGGACAUUUUGAAAGGUUGCCCAAAUACGUGGUUGGAUUUUGCCAAUUUUCAAUCAAUGAUUAAUAAAGCUCAUUUGGAGGAUCAAUUAGAGUUUCAAAAAGAAGAUUUUGCACCAGAAUUGUUAUACAACUAAUGAAUUCUACUUUAUUAAUGAACAUUUUCAAUGUUGAAUGAUGAAAAACAGUGCUAUAGUGAACAGUAAAUGCACAUUUUUUAAAAAUAAUUUCGUCCCUUCAGCUUAUCAUUAUGUUAUUUCAGGAAUUCUAUAAUCAGGGUGGGGAAACACUUUAAUUCUGGUUUGUAGUGAUACUUUUGGCAAAAUUCUAAUUGUUGUUUUUGAAAAAUCAUUAGACUCUUAAAAAAAUGGUUUAAACAGGAAAUGGAUAUUUGCCCCAGACAAAGACUAGAGGAUGUUGGCCAAAUACCUUCAGUUAACACCAAAAUGUUUUGAAGUGUUUCAUGGCACUUAGAGAAGAUUGGCCUCAGCUAGCAUUAAUAAUAAAUGGAAGUUAAUCUAAA